ACAAACCAUAGAAAAUUUGAACAGAGAAAAAAAAAAUGAAUUCUUUGACACAAGCUUGUUCUCACAGCCACCAUUUCCAUUUCCACCCCAAUUGCUUCACAAACACCAUACAUACCGAAACUAAGAGCAGCAAAAACAAAACCAUCUUUUUCUUCUUCAAACCUUUUUCAAAAUUCCAAUCCCUCACAACCCAAGCUCACCUUGCUUCCUCUAUCCACCCACUGUCGCCACCGCCACCGCCACCAUCCACUAACAAUGCUGUUUUGGACUCAAAGCACACCACCCUUCUUGUGGAAGCUUACCAUGUUCACCGUGGACUGGGAAUCUUGCUCCGGAAACUUGAUAGCGUAGAUGGUGACCCUCUUAGGAUUCUUACUGAAGACGGUGAUUGGCCCAAAGAAUACUUUUGGGCUGUUGUCAAGUUCCUCAAGAAUGCAUCAAGGUUUUCGGAAAUCCUUCAGGUGUUUGACAUGUGGAAGAACAUUGAGAAAUCACGGAUUAGUGAGUUAAACUAUAACAAGAUAAUAUCCUUGUUAGUUGAAGGAGGGAUGAUGGAAGGUGCCAUGUCUACAUUGCAAGGGAUGAAAAUUCAUGGUCUCAAGCCUUCUUUGGACACCUACAAUCCGAUCAUCCACGGUUUCUCCAGAGAAGGUAAAUUCGGCGAAGCUUUGUGUUUUCUUGAUGAGAUGAAAGAAUUUGAUUUAGAGCCAGACACCGAGACUUAUGACGGGUUAAUACGAGCUUAUGGUAAGUUUAAAAUGUAUGAUGAGAUUGGUAAGUGUGUGAAAAAGAUGGAGUUGGUUGGUUGUUCUCCUGAUCAUAUCACUUAUAAUAUACUCAUACAAGAGUAUUCACGCGGUGGGGUACUCCAAAGGAUGGAAAAACUAUAUCAAAGAAUGAUUUCGAAAAGAAUGCGUUUGCAAUCUUCAACAUUGAUUGCAAUGCUCGAUGCUUACACCACAUUUGGUAUGGUUGAAAAGAUGGAAAUGUUUUAUAGAAAAUUGCUGAACUCAAAAACACGUCUAGAUGAUGAUUUGAUACGAAAAGUGGCUGAGGUUUAUAUCAAGAACUACAUGUUUUCUAGGUUAGAGGACCUUGGACUAGAUUUACGUUCAGCAUUCGGUGAAUCUGACCUUGUAUGGUGCCUUCGCCUCCUUUCUUAUGCAUGUCUUCUGAGUCGAAAAGGCAUGGAUAUAAUUGUUCAAGAAAUGCGAGAUGCCAAGGUUCAUUGGAAUGUUACCACUGCCAAUAUCAUCAUGCUGGCUUAUGUGAAGAUGAGAGAUUUCAAGAGGUUGAGAAUUUUGCUAUCGCUAUUCCCAAUGUAUCGAGUGAAGCCUGAUAUAGUCACUGUUGGAAUUUUAUUCGAUGCAAACAGAAUCGGCUUUGAUGGCAGUGGAACUUUAGAAGCAUGGAGAAGAAUGCGGUAUCAUUACCGAGUUGUAGAAAUGGAAACAGAUUCUCUGGUUCUUACUGCAUUUGGUAAAGGCCAUUUUCUAAAAAGCUGCGAAGAAAUGUACUCUUCCCUUCACCCAGAGUAUAGAGAAAGGAAAACAUGGACAUAUCAUGACCUUAUUACUUUAGUAUCAAUGUAUAGUGGCAAGUAACAUUCACUGUAUGAAAACAAAACAGAUAACAAAAGAGUUGGAGUAUGUAAAGAAAGUUUCAAUGUCUCACAUUAUUGUUUAUUGUCUAGUUGGGAUUAGGAGGUUGAAAAAAAAAAAACACUUGUAACUAGCGGUUUAGGAAUUGUAGAAUUAUCAUACAUUACAUUACAAUCAGCUCUGCCACUUGUAAUAUUUUCCGUUUUCAGGUUGUUUCUCCCAGAUUUAAAAUGUGUACCAAGAAAAAAGUAUUUACACUCUUACAAGACAUGUUUCCCUCUCCAACAAAUGGGAUGUUACACGGGCAGAACAUGGUGAUAAUGCUGGCAUGCAUCUCCAUGUACCACAAAUGCUUGCAAUCCCGCCACCACCUCCUAGACAUGGGCCUGCACCUAGAGUAUAUAAGCGAGGUAGAGCUGCUGUGCUCGCGCUGGGACUUACACUAG